UUUAGUAAUGACAAAACUGCUAUCCAAAUUGCUACCAACCCCACAUAGAAUGAAAGAACAAAGCUUACGGAGAUAGGAAAAGCUUUAACAAAGUUUAAUUGGGAUUAACUACGUGCCUACACAACAUCAACCUGCUGGCUGCUAAUUUCCUCACCAAAGGCCUUAACAGAAUUCAACAUGGAAUUCUGAACAUCUUCAUUCCUCCUGGCUUGGAGGGGAGUAUUAAGACAUAAGAGGAGCGGG
rnacentral:lncRNA from 1 species